rnacentral:rRNA from 1 species
AGUUGUGCCAGCACCUGCGGUUAUACUUUAUGAAUGGUAUUUAGGUUUAUUUUAAAAAACUUAUUUAUAUUAUGGUUUAAUAUAAUAUAAAAAAUAAAUUUUUGGGGUUAAAACCAAAAAUAUCUACCAGUAAAAAGGUUAGUAUCUUUGUACAGUAUUUAAGGUUUAAGUAGUUUUAAAAACUUAAAAUAAAUGGUAGUAGAAUCAUCAGUCUAGGGGAUUUUGAAAGAAAAUUUGAUAGUCAUCAAUUUUAUUUGCUUGGGUUAAUUCUAUGUGUGGUUGUUUAAAAACAUUUCUUCAAAUGAAUUUUAGCUCAGGGUUUCGAAGUAUUUAAUCGGCGUUUUGAAAUCUAGUACGAAAUAAAGAAACUUAGGAUGGUCCUAAGCC